AUCACCCGCCAAGAGCUGCUUGCCGUCAUCCUGGGGCUCCGCCACUUCCAGCCCUACGGGGCUCCACAGCACCAGCCAAGGAAACAAAGUCGACUGUUUCACAGAUGUCUAUACUGAGAUCAUCAAGGCAGCUGCAAAUGGGACCGGAGAGGAACUACUGCAUCACCUGUCAAGAGCAAUGGAAACUUUGACUCUAU